rnacentral:misc_RNA from 1 species
UCCGGCUUAUCACCGGCGGUUUCUUUAGAGUGCCCAACUAAAUGAUGGCAACUAAAGACGAGGGUUGCGCUCGUUGCGGGACUUAACCCAACAUCUCACGACACGAGCUGACGACAGCCAUGCAGCACCUCCACGGCAGCCCCGAAGGGAAACUCCAUCUCUGGAGCUGUCCACCGCAGUUCAAACCCAGGUAAGGUUCUUCGCGUUGCGUCGAGUUAAACCACAUGCUCCACCGCUUGUGCAGGCCCCCGUCAAUUUCUUUGAGUUUUAACCUUGCGGCCGUACUCCCCAGGCGGAUGACUUAACGCGUUAGCUGCGCCACCGAAACUCCAUGAGCCCCGACAGCUAGUCAUCAUCGUUUACGGCGUGGACUAC